AUACAGAGGUCCCGAGCGUUGUUCGGAUUCACUGGGCGUAAAGGGUGCGUAGGUGGUGGGGUAAGUCGGAUGUGAAAUCCCCGGGCUUAACUCGGGAAAGGCAUUGGAAACUACCCUGCUGGAGGUUCGGAGGGGGACUGGAAUUCUCGGUGUAGCAGUGGAAUGCGUAGAUAUCGAGAGGAACACCAGUGGCGAAGGCGGGUCCCUGGACGACACCUGACACUGAGGCACGAAAGCUAGGGGAGC
rnacentral:rRNA from 1 species